UCAAACUUGGUCAUUUAGAGGAAGUAAAAGUCGUAACAAGGUUUCCGUAGGUGAACCUGCGGAAGGAUCAUUACUGAGUUGGGUCCUAAUGGCCCGAUUCCCAACCCUAUGUCUACAAACUCUUUGUUGCUUCGGUCGGCCAGUUCUUUGAACUACCAGGCACAGCUGUGCCUAGUCCGCGCUGACCGAUAGCCAAUUACAAACCAUUGAAAACAUGAAUAUCUGAGACCAAACAAAAUAAAGCACAAAACUUUCAACAACGGAUCUCUUGGUUCUGGCAUCGAUGAAGAACGCAGC
rnacentral:misc_RNA from 1 species